UACGGAGGAUCCAAGCGUUAUCCGGAUUCAUUGGGUUUAAAGGGUGCGUAGGCGGAAUUUUAAGUCAGUGGUGAAAUCUUCCAGCUUAACUGGGAAACUGCCAUUGAUACUGAUAUUCUUGAGUUUGGCUGAAGUAGGCGGAAUGAGGCAUGUAGCGGUGAAAUGCAUAGAUAUGCCUCAGAACACCAAUUGCGAAGGCAGCUUACUAAACCAAUACUGACGCUAAGGCACGAAAGCGUGGGGAGCAAACAGG
rnacentral:misc_RNA from 1 species